UGGUAUGAAAGAAAAAAAGAAGGAGCUUGAGGGAUACCUGGAAGGAAAUGGGGUGAUUACAAUACAGGUGAAUUAAACGAUUUCUUGGGUUCUUGUUAUUUAUUGUACGUAUAGGAACAGGCUAUUGUGUGUUGUAAAAUACCUGGCGCUCAAACUGUGAAAAGGUGAACAUAAAACCUGCAUCGGCUAUAAUAUUGAAUGCUUGUCAAUGACCGCAAUAACGAAGAAAUAUAUUUUUUUAAUCAAGAGAGAUAGCAAGAGAAACGUAGAGGGGUGAAAGACAGCGAACAAAAAUUGUAACAACCUUCCACUUCGAUAAACACGUGGCACUUGUAUUCUGAGUGAACAAACUUUUUACCAUGUUUGCAGACUUAAAAAAAAUUGUGCCCUGAAGACCAAAUCGUGGAUGACGAAUUUUGUUUUUCUUGGCAAGUGCCAUUUAAGCGUGCAAGGUUAACGGUUCUCUUGUGGAGAAAAACAGCAGUUCGAUUUUAACCGACUGGCUUUCCUGGUUGUGGCUGUGUAGAUAAUUAAAGCUUUUCUGCUGACUUUGACCUGGCGACAUUGAAUAAAUUAUGAAGCAAGGGGUGUAUUUGCUUCUGGUUGUAUCUUUCCUUCUCCUUAGCUUCAGUCAAGGGGCUCCAUACCACAAGCCAAGAGAUGUCCAGAAAAGGGAAACAAAGGAGUCACCGCUUCUUUCGGAGAUCAGACAUGAUCUAGAGACGUACCUUAGUAACCAUUCCAAGAAGACGCCUUCCAGACGUGCCAACCGGAAUCCAUUUAACCCAGCUAAUUCGAUCACCUGGUAAUAAUACUUCUAAUGCGAAUGACCCCCCAACGACCACAGCGACAGAGUCACACCCCCACCCAGUCCAUGAGAACGAAAUACGGUACUUGGCGAAGUCCUCGACACCCCCCCCCCACACUCCCCUGGAAAUGGCCUGUUCGCCAUUCGCAGAGAUACAAACUGCUAUCAUGUUUGUCUUUAAGAGAUAGUUGAUUAUCAAUACAGAGCUAUCAGAUUUCAGUAUUCUCAUUUUAAUUCAAGUGCAUUCCUAUUAUGCCUUUUAUGCACCCUGCUUUAGAAACUUACAUAAUUAUGUUGCUAUUUAAAUAUCCAAAUAUGUUUCAUACAUUUGAUCUAAGUCUAAGAUAAUUCAUAAAAGGAUAUUUUUAAACUUGACUAGCAGACACUUUACGGAACGCUGUUAUCGGUCGACACCACGAUCAUGACAAUAUACUUGGUAGACUUUGUGUCUUAAUCCCAUCGGCUCGGAAUUUACCUAAAGCAUUGCCAUUUGUUUUUUUACCUUUUAAGUGGACAGUUCUGACAGAACCUCAUACCACUGUCCCGUUGUUAGUUCAUUAUAGUUUGAUGGUGCCCGGGGGUGGGCUCGAGCACGCAUAGUGACAGUAUCAGCAUGAUGUGGCCCGUAUAAUACCCGUUUCUUAAGACCUAAGUCUUAAGUCCCUCAUUUCAUAGCAACUUCAGUUCUUAAAUAAGGGUAUGGUUUCAGUUUUUCGGCUACAUGCCCCUACCCUUUCCAAAAUCGAGUGUCCCCGCCCGGAGUAAUAUCACUGUAGAAAUGACAUCUGUAGCUGUUUCUGUGCGUAUAUUUACGAAGUCAUUAAUUGUAUGCUUAAUUAUGCCAAUCUCAUUCAUCACGUUUAUUUCUUUAUUGAUAAUAAUAAACUUUAUUGAUCAGACUUGCACAACAGAGGUAAAGGUACAAUAGCCCGAAUUACAUACAGAGAAAAAAAAAGAAGGGCAUUAAACAUCCUUCCA